AACUUAUAAAUCUAAACGGUAAAUCUGAUAUUAAUGUUAUGCAUAUCAAAAUUUCUAGAAAAAUAUUUUCUAUUAAAAUCUCUGUUCAAAUGGGGGGGAGGUUCAAUUUGAAAAUUAAAAGUUUGCACUUAUUUAAGAUAUGUAGAAUAGGGUGAAAAAUUAAAAAUUUUUUUGAUAUAAAGCUUAAACGAUUCCAGGAUUUCAGGAUUCCAUGAUUAGGAAGAACAGAAAUCAAAUUAAUUAAAAAAAACUCCGAGAUAAUUGCUGGUUCUUGAUAAAAAAAUAUCACCCUGUAUAAUAUGUACCCCGAGCAUGUGCCGACUAAUAUUUAAUAAAAUUAUUCGAAUAAUUAUGAAAAAAUCACCCGAACCAUAAUUUAUUCGAAUAAAAUGUUAUCUAAAUAAAAUUAUAUUUAAAUUCAACCGCUUACUCUGAUGCCUACCCAGUUAACACUUAAACAUACGUGUUGAAAUAAUUUAACUAUAUGUAUUUAUUUUAUCCACUGUAAACUGUAGUUGAAAAUAAAUAAUACUCGAAACGGAUAUUAUUGUUUAAUGAAACCGAUUUACUUUUAAAUUGAUCGUAAAACGCUAUUCUAUGUAGUUUCAGAAAGAUACCCACUUAUGACUACAAUUUUAUUAUUUUUACGUAGCGAGUGUAAAAAUAAACAAACAAAACUACUUAUACAUUUACAUAUGUAAAACAAUUCAAUAAAUAA